CAUGGGAGAAGUAGCUUCACAAAGAUUACUUUCAAGAGGGUGAUUCCCCUCAUUAAAGAAGAUGAAAUCACAAUACAAAGAAGACCCCUAGUUUUGUUCUCAAGUGUUGAUCUCCUAUCAAUUAAUCAGAGAAGCUCCACCACUUUUGGGUACAUGAUCGUCCAUGAGUUGAAUGCAGAAGCGCAUUGGAAAGAGAUUUUAUCCUGGAAGGAAAAGAAGCAUCCAACCAAAAGUAGACUGUAUCUAGUUCAAAAAGGCAUCGAACCAACAACUUCAUCUCCAAUCUGGUAAAAGAACAGACUGUGGUAUCAACACAAACGCUAUUCUUCUACCGCAAACACUAGAUACCAGCAGUUCCUUGAAGAGCAUUUCCAUACUACCAAAACACACUUUUAACAAACAUUCAAAAGAUUGGAAUAGGUGCAUGGUAUUAUCAAAACAUAUGCAUCUUGCCUCUCAAACUACUCACGCGCUGAUGGAUCCCAAUUGUUCUAAAAAAAAUACUGACGCGCUCUUUUUACGUUUCAAGAUGAUUUUAGCCUCAGCAAAACUCAAUCACAAAUCCAGAUCCCAAGAAUUCCAAAAGUUCUUGUAACCAUAGAGCAAGAAGUCAUAAAGAAGAAGAAGAGAGACCUUGAUGGCGAUGGCUACAGCCUGGCCGACAAGACCUGGAUCUGACUGCCACGUACCCAACCCUACCGAAGGCAUCUUAGCUCCAGUGUUGAGUUGAAAGAACCGGAUGUCGUCCGACAUUUCCAGAUGAUCUGAAGA